rnacentral:rRNA from 1 species
CCUACGGGAGGCAGCAGUGAGGAAUAUUGGUCAAUGGACGAGAGUCUGAACCAGCCAAGUAGCGUGAAGGAUGACUGCCCUAUGGGUUGUAAACUUCUUUUAUAUGGGAAUAAAACGUUCCACGUGUGGGAUUUUGUAUGUACCAUAUGAAUAAGGAUCGGCUAACUCCGUGCCAGCAGCCGCGGUAAUACGGAGGAUCCGAGCGUUAUCCGGAUUUAUUGGGUUUAAAGGGAGCGUAGGUGGAUUGUUAAGUCAGUUGUGAAAGUUUGCGGCUCAACCGUAAAAUUGCAGUUGAUACUGGCAGUCUUGAGUACAGUAGAGGUAGGCGGAAUUCGUGGUGUAGCGGUGAAAUGCUUAGAUAUCACGAAGAACUCCGAUUGCGAAGGCAGUUCACUGGACUGCAACUGACACUGAGGCUCGAAAGUGUGGGUAUCAAACAGGAUUAGAUACCCGAGUAGUC